AAGUCGUAACAAGGUUUCCGUAGGUGAACCUGCGGAAGGAUCAUUAACACGUAUCCAACGUUAAACACACAACCCUGUGAACUUUCAGACGUUCUUGUAGCCCUGGCGGAACAGCAAUCCCGGUAAAUCAAUGGCGGAAAAAGUUUUGAUUCGGGACCUCUGCCCAAAAGGUUUAAAGUUACAAUCGAUUGCUAGAGGUCGAUCACCGGCCGGCAAACAUGUCACAGGGCUAUAUGCCCCCCCUUUCACACCUUGCACUGAUCAAGCCCCACGGAAACGUCGGGGCAUUAAAACGAACAACUGUUAACAAUGGAUAUCUUGGUUCUC
rnacentral:misc_RNA from 1 species